rnacentral:rRNA from 1 species
AGUGCAACCUUAAGUGGGUGGUAAGUUCCAUCUAAGACUAAAUAUAACCACGAGACCGAUAGCAAACAAGUACCGUGAGGGAAAGUUGAAAAGAACUUUGAAGAGAGAGUUCAAAAGUACGUGAAACCGUUUAGGGGUAAACGGAAAAGGACUAAAAAUUCGAAAAGGGAGAUUCACGUCUUCUCGUUUGUUAGUCAUAGUAUAUUUCAGGAUAAUUAAUGGUUCUAUUCAUUUAUGUUUUAGUUCUAUUAAUUGCCUAAAUUUAUUAUGAAAAACAGCGGUAGACCGCACUUCUCUCUUAGUAGGACGUCGCAACCCGCUAAUUUAUAAUUUAAGAGCAAGUCUAAAGUUUUAUUCUUUAAAAUUUAUUUUAACUGCAAUAAACUGAUUUAACUCUAAUUAAAUAAUUGGCGGUAAAAAUCGAUAGUGAAAAGCCGCUUUUUUAUAAAAGCGUUUAACAAGUUUCUAUUAAUCUAAUAAUAAUAAAUUAGAACGUGUUCUAUUUUUAUUUUAUUAAUUAUAGUAAAACUUUGUUUAAACUGGCUUACAACACUAGUGGCGGCGCUACAGUUUUAGUAACUUUUCCGACCCGUCGAAACACCCAAGGAGUCUAACAUGUGCGCAAGUCAUUGGGUAAUAAAACCUAAAGGCGUAACGAAAGUAAAAAAAGCUUUGCUUUAUUAGGGAGGAUGGUUAUUUAAAUAAAAUUAUUAAAUUUUAUAUUGUAACCCGCACUCCCGGGGUGUUUAUUACUCAUUAUGAGUAAAGGCACACCAAGAGCGUACACGUUGGGACCCGAAAGAAGGUGAACUAUGCCUGGCCAGGAUGAAGCCAGGGGAAACCCUGGUGGAGGUCCGUAGCGAUUCUGACGUGCAAAUCGAUCGUCAGAGUUGUGUAUAGGGGCGAUAGACCAAUCGAACCUUCUAGUAGCUGGUUCCCUCCGAAGUUUCCCUCAGGAUAGCUGGUGCCAAUGAUGAGUAGAGUCUCAUCUGGUAAAGCGAAUGAUUAGAGGUCUUGGGGCCGAAACGACCUCAACCUAUUCUCAAACUUUAAAUGGAUGAGAGCUUUGGCUUGCUUAAAAAAUGAAGCCAAGGACCUCGGAUCUAGGUGCCAAGUGGGCCAAUUUUGGUAAUGUGGGAUGAACCAAACGCAAAGUUAAGGCGCCCGAAUUGACGCUCAUGAGACACCAUGAAAGGCGUUGGUUGCUUAAGACAGCAGGACGGUGGCCAUGGAAGUCGGAAUCCGCUAAGGAGUGUGUAACAACUCACCUGCCGAAGCAACUAGCCCUGAAAAUGGAUGGCGCUGUAGCGUCAUGCCUAUACUUUGCCGUCAACUGCAAAUAAUCACAACUAAUACGUUGUGCUAUUAAGCAUUGACGAGUAGGAGGGUCGCAGCGAUGAGCGUAGAAGGGUCUGGGCGUAAGCCUGCCUGGAGCCGUCGCUGGUGCAGAUCUUGGUGGUAGUAGCAAAUACUCCAGCGAGGCCCUGGAGGACUGUUGUGGAGAAGGGUUUCUUGUGAACAGCUGUUGCACAAGAGUCAGUCGAUCCUAAGCUCUAGAAGAAAUUCGAUGUUGAUGGAUGCCUUAAAAAAAAAAUUUGGCAUCCAUUGAGCGAAAGGGAAUCUGGUUCCUAUUCCAGAACCUGGCUGCGGAACCGUUCCAAAUCGAGCCCUCAAUAAGCUCGUCGGGGUGACCCAAAAAGACCUGAAGACGCCGUUGGAAGGUUCGGGGAGAGUUGUCUCUUCUCUAUAAGCGUUCGAGUUCCCUGGAAUCCUCUAGCAGGGAGAUAGGGUUUGGAACGCGAAGAGCAUCGCAGUUACGGCGGUGUCCGAAUCAUUCCUUCGGACCUUGAAAAUUCAGGAGAGGGCUACGAGGAAUCCCGCGCCAGAUCGUACCCAUAUCCGCAGCAGGUCUCCAAG